AUGAACGCUGGCGGCGUGCCUAAUACAUGCAAGUCGCGCGAACAGACGAGGAGCUUGCUCCUCUGACGUUAGCGGCGGACGGGUGAGUAACACGUGGAUAACCUACCUAUAAGACUGGGAUAACUUCGGGAAACCGGAGCUAAUACCGGAUAAUAUAUUGAACCGCAUGGUUCAAUAGUGAAAGACGGUUUUGCUGUCACUUAUAGAUGGAUCCGCGCCGCAUUAGCUAGUUGGUAAGGUAACGGCUUACCAAGGCGACGAUGCGUAGCCGACCUGAGAGGGUGAUCGGCCACACUGGAACUGAGACACGGUCCAGACUCCUACGGGAGGCAGCAGUAGGGAAUCUUCCGCAAUGGGCGAAAGCCUGACGGAGCAACGCCGCGUGAGUGAUGAAGGUCUUCGGAUCGUAAAACUCUGUUAUUAGGGAAGAACAUAUGUGUAAGUAACUGUGCACAUCUUGACGGUACCUAAUCAGAAGGCCACGGCUAACUACGUG
rnacentral:rRNA from 1 species